rnacentral:rRNA from 1 species
CAGUCGCCGCGGUAAUACGUAGGGUGCAAGCGUUAAUCGGAAUUACUGGGCGUAAAGCGUGCGCAGGCGGUUUGUUAAGACAGAUGUGAAAUCCCCGGGCUCAACCUGGGAACUGCAUUUGUGACUGGCAAGCUAGAGUCUGGCAGAGGGGGGUGGAAUUCCGCGUGUAGCAUUGAAAUGCGUAGAUAUGCGGAGGAACACCGAUGGCGAAGGCAGCCCCCUGGGCCAACACUGACGCUCAUGCACGAAAGCGUGGGGAGCAAACAGGAUUAGAUACCCCAGUAGUCCCUGUCUCUUAUAC